CAGGGAAAGGGGCUGAGGACACCCACCUUCCUGGGACACCAGCUCCUACCAGCACAGGGGUGAAAAGCAGCAGGAACCUGAUGUCUUAGGAAAAUCCCUGGAGAAGAGCCAGACAGGAUUUCAUGGAAGGAGCAGAGGACUCGGAAGGAAUUCUGAGCCCUGCCCACAGCCUUCCCAACACAGGGAGUACAGUUAAUAAAUCAGAGCCCCGAUGUGGAGAUGAAUUAAUCGGGCUGCCAGAAAAGGAGGGAAUGAAGGCUCAAAUGAACACCAGCAAACAAAUGCUCCUGUCAGACCACAGGAAGUGUCCUGGCAUUGAGGUGCCCACUGGGACAGGGCCAAAAUCCAGAUGGAGGUCUGAAGCUGCUGCCAGUGAGGGGGCUGGAAUUUGCCAUUGCUGGGAAGAGCUCUCAGAAGAAACCAUCCAGCACAGACAAGAUGCAGGUGAGGAUUCGGAAGCGUUCGGCUGCAAAAAACAACAGGAGGAGCCGGGACUGUACCUGUGGGAGACGAUGGUGGGGGGCAGCUGCUUGUGAUCCCCGGCCAGGAUGCACUUGGGAGCCUUCAGCAGAGGGAUCCAGCAGCUGGCUUCCAGGGCCUGAGCACACUCAUCAAUCACCACCAGGUCGAAGUGGUUUUCGGGCAGCAGCUUCAGCGGGCCGUCGGAGGAGGCACCUGAUGGAAGCAGAAGAAGCUUCCAAGACUCUUUGGAAAACAGCAGCCAAAGAGAACGAGAUCCUGGAAUGCUUCACCCAGAGCAGAGCAGUGAACACCCACCUUCCUGCUGCCCCCUCAGUGCAAACAGAACUCCUCAUCACCAACACUGGAAGGGUGAGGGACUGCAGCUCCACCAGUCUGAGAAGUGGGGGACAGCCCAGGAGGGAGAGACGGGCUGAGUCCCCACUCCUCUGCCCUGCUGACCCCCUGGCUGUGCCACUCUGUCCUUCCUCAUGGCACUGGGAGAAGGGAAAGCACAGGAGAAGUAACCAGGCCACCACAGCAAGGGCUAAUUUUUAGUAUCAGAAGCCCAUUUGUAACAUCAAACAAAUGACCCUGGCACACAACCUGCUCUAACCCAGACCUACCUGAUACCGAUCCACGCAUUGAUCAGAAAUCUGGAUGUCAGGGGCAUCAAAAUCUCACCCAAUUCACAAGGAAAAAGGAUGCAAAAGGAGGAGAGCAGGGUUAAGAAGCCAGCAUGCCAGGAGAGAAGAUUUUUAUUCACAGAGGUGUUUUUUUCCCACAGC